CGUACACUCCUACGGGAGGCAGCAGUGGGGAAUAUUGCACAAUGGGCGCAAGCCUGAUGCAGCCAUGCCGCGUGUAUGAAGAAGGCCUUCGGGUUGUAAAGUACUUUCAGCGGGGAGGAAGGCGAUAAGGUUAAUAACCUUGUUGAUUGACGUUACCCGCAGAAGAAGCACCGGCUAACUCCGUGCCAGCAGCCGCGGUAAUACGGAGGGUGCAAGCGUUAAUCGGAAUUACUGGGCGUAAAGCGCACGCAGGCGGUCUGUCAAGUCGGAUGUGAAAUCCCCGGGCUCAACCUGGGAGCUGCAUUCGAAACUGGCAGGCUAGAGUCUUGUAGAGGGGGGUAGAAUUCCAGGUGUAGCGGUGAAAUGCGUAGAGAUCUGGAGGAAUACCGGUGGCGAAGGCGGCCCCCUGGACAAAGACUGACGCUCAGGUGCGAAAGCGUGGGGAGCAAACAGGAUUAGAAACCCUGGUAGUCCCA
rnacentral:rRNA from 1 species